rnacentral:tmRNA from 1 species
GGGGGUGAUCGGUUUCGACGUUGUUUGCAACUCCAGGAGAAGCGGGUCGAGAAUGCAAGGUCAACUCGUUAAUGUCCCUUGCAAACCAAUAGGUGCCGAUUCCAAGCGCACCGACUUCGCCCUCGCCGCCUGAGCGAGCCACGAAGUCUGUCAGCCUGAGCUAGUUUCCGACUCAGUGUCUGGCAUCAGCUAGGAAACUUGCUGCGUGAUCAUGUUGGGGGAUCACGCGGGACUCUUACUCAACUGGGCCUGUCAGGGAACGUGUGCGCGCGAGCCCUGGGGCCGAGAAACUCCAUAGCGCACUGCACCCGGAGAAGUCCUGGUCUUCCGGCAGCGGACGCGGGUUCGAUUCCCGCCACCUCCACUC